rnacentral:rRNA from 1 species
UACGUAGGGGGCAAGCGUUGGUCCGGAAUCAUUGGGCGUAAAGCGCGUGUAGGCGGCUCGAUAAGCUCGCUCUGAAAGUCCAGGGCUCAACCCUGGGAUGCGGGUGGAUACUGUCGGGCUCGAGUCCGGAAGAGGCGAGUGGAAUUCCCGGUGUAGCGGUGAAAUGCGCAGAUAUCGGGAGGAACACCAAUGGCGAAGGCAGCUCGCUGGGACGUGACUGACGCUGAGACGCGAAAGCGUGGGGAGCAAACAGG